UAAAGAAGGUAAAGAGAAUAUGUUCAGCCUAACAGAUGACUAAACUUCCCAAUAAUGGCGAAGAUAUGAGUCUUUCCAUCUGUCUUUUGGUAUACCAACUGUAUGAAUUGAUCAAACUUUGAUUGUGUUUUCCCACAAUAUUAAAAUUU